rnacentral:rRNA from 1 species
AUUGAACGCUGGCGGCAGGCCUAACACAUGCAAGUCGAACGAGUGGCGGACGGGUGAGUAAUGUCUGGGAAACUGCCUGAUGGAGGGGGAUAACUACUGGAAACGGUAGCUAAUACCGCAUACCCUCGGAUGUGCCCAGAUGUGAUUAGCUAGUAGGGGGGGUAACGGCUCACCUAGGCGACGAUCCCUAGCUGGUCUGAGAGGAUGACGAGCAACACGGGAACUGAGACACGGUCCAGACUCCUACGGGAGGCAGCAGGGGGGAAUAUUGCACAAUGGGCGAAAGCUUGAUGCAGCCAGGCCGCGGGUAGGAAGAAGGCCUUCGGGUUGUAAAGUACUUUCAGCGGGGAGGCGGUACCCGCAGAAGAAGCACCGGCUAACUCCGUGCCAGCCGCCGCGGUAAUAC